rnacentral:rRNA from 1 species
GGCCCCGCACAAGCGGUGGAGUAUGUGGUUUAAUUCGAUGCAACGCGAAGAACCUUACCAGGGUUUGACAUCCUGCGAAUCUCUUGGAAACUUGAGAGUGCCUUCGGGAGCGCAGUGACAGGUGGUGCAUGGCUGUCGUCAGCUCGUGUCGUGAGAUGUUGGGUUAAGUCCCGCAACGAGCGCAACCCACAUCUUUAGUUGCCAGCAGUUCGGCUGGGCACUCUAAAGAAACUGCCCGUGAUAAGCGGGAGGAAGGUGUGGAUGACGUCAAGUCCUCAUGGCCCUUACAUCCUGGGCUACACACGUACUACAAUGCUACGGACAAAGGGCAGCAAACUCGCGAGAGCUAGCAAA